CACUCCUGCGGGAGGCAGCAGUGGGGAAUAUUGCACAAUGGGCGCAAGCCUGAUGCAGCCAUGCCGCGUGUAUGAAGAAGGCCUUCGGGUUGUAAAGUACUUUCAGCGGGGAGGAAGGCGAUAAGGUUAAUAACCUUGUCGAUUGACGUUACCCGCAGAAGAAGCACCGGCUAACUCCGUGCCAGCAGCCGCGGUAAUACGGAGGGUGCAAGCGUUAAUCGGAAUUACUGGGCGUAAAGCGCACGCAGGCGGUCUGUCAAGUCGGAUGUGAAAUCCCCGGGCUCAACCUGGGAACUGCAUUCGAAACUGGCAGGCUAGAGUCUUGUAGAGGGGGGUAGAAUUCCAGGUGUAGCGGUGAAAUGCGUAGAGAUCUGGAGGAAUACCGGUGGCGAAGGCGGCCCCCUGGACAAAGACUGACGCUCAGGUGCGAAAGCGUGGGGAGCAAACAGGAUUAGAUACCCCAGUAGUCCC
rnacentral:rRNA from 1 species